ACAGGUAAUGUGCCUAUUGCAAAUUCGAAAUAGGCGAGGUCGCGUGCGAUCAACGCGCAGCCGACUUUGCGCAUCUAUUGCAAUUCGCGGACAAGGUCGCGUGCCGUCGACGCGCCGUAUUUGCGCACCUCUUGCUUUCUUAUCAUAUACUGUCCCGUCGAUGUUUACGCAGUUUCGGCAUGCACUAUCAGUGCAUUGCAGCCAGUUUCGUGCCGGUCGCUGCUUAAACCAGUUGUGUUUAGAUACUUAUAUUGUUUAUUCGGACUUCAAUAUUCUAAAUUUGUGUUAUACUCGAAGAUCAAUCGACUAUUUAUUUGUACUUUGCGACUAUAGUAAUUUGUUUAAUGUUCGGAAAUGCCGGUUUUUGAUUGCGUUUGUAAUGUAUAUUACAAGUUACGUGAUAGUGGAUUUGAUAACAUUCUUCACUCGGCGUUGUGUGUGGUGUCGGUUACUAAAUUAAUCGGAUAUAUAUCACCUCCAUAUUGAUUCUCAUCAUUAAGAAAGAUCCAUCAGGCUCGUUUACAGCACUCGUUGUGCUUGGCAGUCCGAUAAGCUGUACACUGGGAUUUUGCACCUGAGUCUGAUAUCGUAGAAGAACCAUUCUAGCAUCAGAUUGGAUUUUGCACCUGAGUCUGACAUCGUAGAAGAACCAUUCUUGCAUCAGAUUGGAUUUUGCACCUGAGUCUGACAUCGUAGAAGAACCAUUCUUGUAUGAGAUUGGAUUUUGCACCUGAGUCUGACAUCGUAGAAGAACGAUUCUUGCAUCAGAUUGGAUUUUGCUCCUGAGUCUGACAUCGUAGAAGAACGAUUCUUGCAUCAGAUUGGAUUUUGCACCUGAGUCUGACAUCAUAGAAGAACCAUUCUUGCAUCAGAUUGGAUUUUGCGCCUGAGUCUGACAUCGUAGAAGAACCAUUCGUGCAUCAGAUUUGAUUUUGCGCCUGAGUCUGACAUCGUAAAAGGACCAUUCUUGCAUUUUAUUGUAAAUAUUAAAUUUCUUUAUUAUUAUCUAAAAUAACUUUUGUGAUUAUUACAUAAAUUGACUACCAAAAAUGUA